rnacentral:rRNA from 1 species
AACAGGAUUAGAUACCCUGGUAGUCCACGCCGUAAACGAUGUCGACUUGGAGGUUAUGCCCUUGAGGCGUGGCUUCCGGAGCUAACGCGUUAAGUCGACCGCCUGGGGAGUACGGCCGCAAGGUUAAAACUCAAAUGAAUUGACGGGGGCCCGCACAAGCGGUGGAGCAUGUGGUUUAAUUCGAUGCAACGCGAAGAACCUUACCUACUCUUGACAUCCAGAGAACUUAGCAGAGAUGCUUUGGUGCCUUCGGGAACUCUGAGACAGGUGCUGCAUGGCUGUCGUCAGCUCGUGUUGUGAAAUGUUGGGUUAAGUCCCGCAACGAGCGCAACCCUUAUCCUUUGUUGCCAGCGGUCCGGCCGGGAACUCAAAGGAGACUGCCAGUGAUAAACUGGAGGAAGGUGGGGAUGACGUCAAGUCAUCAUGGCCCUUACGAGUAGGGCUACACACGUGCUACAAUGGCAUAUACAAAGAGAAGCGACCUCGCGAGAGCAAGCGGACCUCAUAAAGUAUGUCGUAGUCCGGAUUGGAGUCUGCAACUCGACUCCAUGAAGUCGGAAUCGCUAGUAAUCGUGGAUCAGAAUGCCACGGUGAAUACGUUCCCGGGCCUUGUACACACCGCCCGUCACACCAUGGGAGUGGGUUGCAAAAGAAGUAGGUAGCUUAACCUUCGGGAGGGCGCUUACCACUUUGUGAUUCAUGACUGGGGUGAAGUCGUAACAAGGUAACC